rnacentral:lncRNA from 1 species
UUUUUUUUUAACACAGUCUGCUAACAUCUGCUGGGGGGCUGGGGAGGAUGGAAUAAUAAGCCUCACAAGCCUAAAUGUUCUUGACUUUUCAUUUCUUAAACUGCCUUAUCUAAGCACUGAGCCCUCUUCAGUGCUACAAUUUUUAAAAAGAAUGUUAUAUUAAGGUGUAUGAAAAGCCAUGGUAGUUUUCAAAGAUUUUAAUAAUUGUUUGAUAUAGUGGUAUUAGUACUUUCCUCAUUGCUCUGGACCAAACCUAGAGCAUUUCUAUAAUUGAAGCAAUCUAAUCAUUAAAAGUGCGUGUGGAAGCAUUUGGGGGAGUAGGGUAUUGUUUAGUUUGAGCUUUCCUUGACCACAAUUCAUAGGUUGAGGCUGUUUGUUUGUUUAAGGCAUUGUAAAAUGACUGAGUUUGUUGUAACCUCAGUGUAACUUGGGACAGCCUUUUCCAAGACUCCAUUGCUUUAGUUCCCUCAGGAAAAGUUGCAGAAAUUAAGCUAAGUUGGCUUUUAAGACUGAUUGCUAUAUAACAAAUUACCUCAAACUUAGUGGCUUAAAACAUGACAUGUAUUUAUUAUUUCAGUUGUGGGUCAAGAGUCUAGCUACAGUUCUCUGUUUAGGGCCUCACAGGGCUACAGUCAACCAGUCAGCUUCUGAAGCUGGGGGUCGUCUUCUAUACCUUUAGGACAGAAUUCAUUUCCUUGCACUUCUAGAGUUCAUGGCCGCAUGCUUCUUUACGGCUAGCAAGAGAAUCUGUGAUCUUGAGGAAGACCCAAGCCUUCUUUCAAAGGUCCCACCUGAUUAGCUCAAAUCCCUCUCCUGUCCCUUUUGGUUAACUUAGAGCCUUAAUUACACCACCAAAUUCCUUCACCUUUGUCCAUAUUCUAGUUCUAUCACAGGGGUUAGUUGUAUCCAUUAUAUUUACAUAACCUGCCACACUCAAGGAAUUACACAGUGUUUGCAUAUCAAGGAAGCCUCAGCCUUUGUAGAGUUCUACAUAUCAUGAAGGAAUACAAGUUUUUGGAACUUAUAUUAGAAGUGAUUAUUCUCUUACACUGCAAGCCUAUUUGGGGGUCAAGAUAUCCUAUGAGAACCUAAGGAAAACUGGACUAUUUACAUCAAAAGUGCACACACACAUGCAGUUUCCAUAUAGUUUUAUUAGAGAAUUGUAGGAGUCUGUGAAUUACAGAGUACAAGUAAUCUGUCCCAACACUCCCCUCAAACAAUUGAGUUUGAAAUUAAAAAGUGAUUGGCCAAGACCAUACAGCUCUUAAGGGCCAUUGAGGCCCAGAUCUUUGUUACCAUACCAUGCAGUGAUUCUUCCAAUUAAUUUACAACUAAUCUCAAUUUAUUUAAGUUUGUGAACCAAAGGCAAAAAAGAAUGUUUUUGCAUCUUGCUGUCUUGUCUUGUAUGUAAACUGGUCUGCUUCGCUUUAAUCAAAGAUAAUUACCUGGAGUUUACCUUUUUAUGUAUGAAACUUCAGUUAGAAUUAUUAUUGACUUUUUAAAGGUCUAGCUAUCUGGGUAUUCUUAAAUAAUUUUCACUUAUUGAUUAUUUACUCAUUGGAAAAUCUAUUAUAUGUCAUCAAAUUUAAUAUGAGGGAAGGGAAACAGUUUGCCCAGACAGACACCUGAUCUAGUAUUCCCAAGUUUAUUGUUUUGAACAUUUUAGGAGGUGAGGGGGACUUAAAACUUUUUAGAUAAGCACAUUAAUUAAGUUUUAUUUUGUUUUGUUAGGAUUAGGGAUGUAACUCAGGAAUAGAGUGCUUGCCAAGCAUGUACAAAGCCCUGGGUUUGAUCCCCAACGCCACCAAAAAAGAAAUACAAAAAAAACUUUUUUUAAAAAAAUCACAGUAAUAAGGGCUGGGCUUGUGCCUCAGUGGUGGAGCACUUUCCUAGCAUGUGUGAGGUACUGGGUUUGAUUCUCAGCACCGCAUACAAAUAAAUGAAUAAACGUCUAAAAAUAUAUUUUAAAAACAAUCACAGUAAUAAAAAAAUUGAUGCUUUAGGUCAAAUCAAGACAUAAACUGAUGACCAAAGUGCUUUUGGGGGCAGAGUAGGGGGUGGGGGCGGAGAUAGUGUCUUGCUCAGGCUGGUCUCUAACUUAGCUCAAGUGAUUCUCCUUCCUUGGCCUCCCCAGUAGUUGGAACUGUAGGCACACGCCACUGCACCUGGCUCCAUAAUACAAGUUGAUUUUUUAGUUAAUAAAUUUGGAAAAAAUAAUUUGUGAAACAGUGUGAUUAGAAGCAACUCAUUUUGUUAUUAAAUAGUCACGGACGGGGCUGGGGCUCAAUGGUGGAGCGCUUGCCUAGCAUGUGUGAGGCACUGGGUUUGAUCCUCAGUACAACAUAAAAAUAAAAGAAAAUUAAAAAUAGUCAAGGACAAGGCAAAAUAAAAACUUCAAAAAUUAAACCUAGCAAUAACCUUCAUUUCUAAUAGGCCUAAAUAAAUCUAGACCUUUAAGUAAUGGGAGUUUGAUUUGGAAUGUCCAUACCGAACUGUAUUUAUAAAAUUGAUUGACAGCUACACACUUUGAGUAGCUAAGUGUGAAGAAAAAUGUUCGUACAUACUCUCAAAUCUACGUCUCACCAGAGGACUGCUGCAUUCCCUUAUCACUUAUAUUCUGUGUCCUAAUCUCACAAAUUUCAUCUUUUGUAUUUAAAUGUGCUGCCUAUUCAAGGUUUCUUUGCUAUUACAGACCAUCAUUUCUUCCAGUGUUGUUCUUUGGAAAGGAAAUUUUUAUACCUUUUACUAACAUUUUUAUUAUUCUUCAAGCAUGAAUUCUAGUUUCCCUGAUCAUAUUUUAUUUCUGAUCAAAAGGUUGUAAUAGUCUGUUUUUCUGUUGAUAAUUGAAUACCUUAAAACAGGAUAAGUUUUAAAGAAAAGAGUUAAUUAUUUUGACUCACAGUUCCAGUCCAAGCUCAAGGGACCUCAUCUGGUGAUGGUGGUCUUGCUGAAAGAGUCCUGGUGAUCCAGAGUAUCUCAUACCAAGAGUAUCGCAUGUGUGUAUAUGUGUGUCUACCUGGCUUCUCUUCUCACACUACAAGAAUUCAAUCACGACUCCACUGUGACGACUUUGUCUAAUCUUAAAAAAUCCCCAAAGGCUUCAACUCUAAACAUAGUUGAGAAGUCUUCACCCUCUUAAUACCUCAUAAUGGGAAUUAAAUUUCAACACUUGGAGCCCUGGGAGACUCUCAAUCCUAGUAAUAAGUAAUGAACUCCUGAACUGUGGCUAUUUUAGUUUUACCCAAGAUUUUCUCUAGCCUGUUUGUAUUCUUUGAAACAACUGUUAAAAAUUUCUAAUGAUCUUAAAUCUACAUGGCUUUUGUGGUACAAUCUCUAGUUGCUUGCCUUCCAGAUAAUUCCCUCAGUAUUCUAUUUCUCUGAGUUUUGAGCCCUUUGAGCCGCCCUUCCCUCAUCUUGUGUACAUAGUUACCUUCUUUAUUUUUCUUUCAGUGCUGGGGAUUAAACUCAGGGCCUUGUGCACACAAUACCUCUGAGCUACAUCCUCAGUCUACCUUUUUAACUCUUUAGUGAAGUGAUACUAUCCAACUCUAGGGCUCUGCUAAAUGGUAUUUUUCUUUCAAAAAGAAAACCACAUUUUGACUCAUAAUUGUGGGGGCAUCAAUAAUGACCUUAUUCCCUCUCCUACAAUAUCACCAUACUACUUGUUUCUUGAUUGACCCCCUGUUCAACCCAGCAUAAAACUUAACUAUUGUGGGUAUUUUCUAUCUCCAAUCUUUUCAGUUUAUAUUUGCAAUGUGCUGCCUCCAUAAAUAGGUAUAUUCUACAAAUCUAGUGUUUCCCAGUACAAUGUUCAGGAUGCACUCUCACUAUAUAACUAGCAAUUAAUUCUGCUACAUCUGUAUUGUUAUGUCCAGUUCAGUGUUCUUUAGUAAUAGUUUUGGUUAUCUUAAUAUUCUUAAUUAAAGUUAACUGUUAUUUGUGUAUAUAGAACUGAUGCAGAUAAACUCACAUUCUCCCUUCCCUCCUCCCCUUUUAACCGGUUCAGUAUUGUCUAAGGCAACUGUUACCUUAAAUAGUAGCUUGUAAUAGAGGUGCUAAAAGUACAGCAAAGUUUGCCCAUAAUCUCCAUCCCCAUACUCAUUCUGUGAUCCUCCCCAGCUGCAGGGAGUAAGGAACGAGAGCAGCAUAGUUUUGUUUGCAAUCAGAAUUUUUUUUUUCCAUUCUGUGCCCCUUGAAUAUUAUAGUGAUUUCUUUCCUUCAAGAAAUCAGGAAAGGGCUGGGGAUGUGGCUCAAGCGGUAGAGC